GUGAAAUUGUUGAAAGGGAAGCGCUUGCAAUCAGACUUGCGUGUAACGGUUCCCCCGGCCUUGUGGCCGGGUUACUCCGUUAUAUCCAGGCCAACAUCGGUUCGGGUGGUCGGUCAAAGACCCCGGGAAUGUAUCUACCUCCGGGUCGACUUAUAGCCCGGGGUGUAAUGCGGCCCACCCGGACCGAGGAACGCGCUUCGGCUCGGAUGUUGGCGUAAUGGUUGUAAGCGGCCCGUCUUGAAACACGGACCAAAGUAGAGAUGAAGAAAC
rnacentral:rRNA from 1 species